GACGAACGCUGGCGGCAUGCCUAACACAUGCAAGUCGAACGAGACCUUCGGGUCUUGCGGCGCAGGGGUGCGUAACGAGUGGGAACCUGCACUUAGGUUCGGAAUCACUGCCCGAGGGGGGUGCUAAUACCGGAUAAUGUCAUAGUACAUACGAUUGAUCGCCUUGGGAUGGGUCCGCGUUGGAUUAGCUGGUUGGUAGGGUGAAAGCCUGCCAAGGCGACGAUCCAUGGCUGGUCUGUGAGGAGGCUCAGCCACACUUGGACGGAGGCACGGCCCAGUCUCCGACGGGACGCAGCAGAAUGGUGUAUUAGACGCGGGACGAAAGCCUAAUCCAGCCAUGCCGCGGAAGAGAUGAAGGCCUUAGGGUUGUAAAGCUCUUUGACCCGAGAUGAUAAUGACAGUACCUGCAGAAGAAGCUCCGGCUAACUCCGUG
rnacentral:rRNA from 1 species